AUAUCAGUCAUGCAUAGCAUAUCAAUAAGCGGAGGAAAAGAAACUAACAAGGAUUCCCUUAGUAACGGCGAGUGAAGCGGGAAGAGCUCAAAUUUGAAAUCUUCAAGGUUUUACCUUGACGAAUUGUAGUUUAAAGAAGUGUUUUCUGUUGAAGUUUUGGUAAAAGUUCUUUGGAAUAGGACAUCAUAGAGGGUGAGAAUCCCGUAUUUGACCAUUAUUUUCAGCUGUGUGAUACACUUUCAAAGAGUCGGAUUGUUUGGGAAUGCAGUCCAAAAUGGGUGGUAAAUUUCAUCUAAAGCUAAAUAUUGGCGAGAGACCGAUAGCGAACAAGUACCGUGAGGGAAAGAUGAAAAGAACUUUGAAAAGAGAGUUAAACAGUACGUGAAAUUGUCAAAAGGGAAGCGUUUGACACCAGUGUUGUUUUCUCGAAAAUCAAUUAAAAAAAGUUGGAUUUUGUGUUGUAUUGACCUUAACAGCUUUCUGCACUCUUUUCCUGCUUUUUUUAAUGCACUUUUCGUUUAACAAGUCAACAUCAGGUUUCUUUUGUUGUAAAAGGGUCAUUGGAAGGUGGCUUUCUUUUCGGAGAAAGUGUUUAUAGCCUUGUGCCUCUGCAAUCGGAGAGAUUGAGGUCUGCAGCGUAGAUCCUUCGGGGUUAGAUGCAUUUGUGCUAAGUUAUAGCCUUUCAUAGACAACUUGUUGACUAUGAUCAGUCAUGUAGCUUACUCGCUUAUGUCAUUUUACCUACGCUUAGGAUGUUGACGCAUGAGAUAUACGC
rnacentral:rRNA from 1 species